GGCAACCCUGACGGAGCAACGCCGCGUGGGGGAGGAAUGUCUGUGGAUUGUAAACCCCUUUUCUCAGGGAAGAAGUUGACGGUACCUAAGGAAUCAGCCUCGGCUAACUCCGUGCCAGCAGCCGCGGUAAUACGGAGGAGGCAAGCGUUAUCCGGAAUUAUUGGGCGUAAAGCGUCCGCAGGCGGCUUCUCAAGUCUGCUGUCAAAGACCAGAGCUCAACUCUGGGCCGGCAGUGGAAACUGAGAAGCUAGAGUACAGUAGGGGUAGAGGGAAUUCCCAGUGUAGCGGUGAAAUGCGUAGAGAUUGGGAAGAACACCGGUGGCGAAAGCGCUCUACUGGGCUGUAACUGACGCUGAGGGACGAAAGCUAGGGUAGCG
rnacentral:rRNA from 1 species